rnacentral:hammerhead_ribozyme from 1 species
AUCCAACUGACGAGUCCAAAAUAGGACGAAACAAAUGUCUUGGAU